UAUCAUUGUUCUCUAUAAAGCACUUAGAAAAAGCAUCCCUCAUCCUAGGGAUGAAGAUCUAUAAAGAUAGAUCUAAGAGGCUGCUUGGGUUAUCCCAGUCCAACAUACAUAGAGUGUUUAUGAAUAGAAUUUGUUCUAUGAUGUACACCAUGUAUGAGAUCAAAAAUGAUAUACUCACUAGGGUAGUGAGUGGAUACUUGCC
rnacentral:lncRNA from 1 species